ACCCCGUCUACCCUCCCUCUUAAAGAAAAACAAACAAAAAACCCUUUACCCCGCCAAUAGGUGGCUUUAAAAAAUUAAAUCGGUGUUCGGAUUUUUGUGCAGGAUACUGUACCUGUCUCCGAAACUGAGUCCAUGUUGUAUGACACAAAUCUAGCUAGGAAGUCCAGUCGUUCAAGACAAGCAACCCAUCACAAGCAGCGUAGGCUUACGAGUAACAAAUACAUCAGUUUUCUGCACGGGUGAAUAUGUCACAACUGACUCCGAUAACGAUUACACUCAAAUGUGUUCUGAGGAAAACCACAGAGGGGAAGAAGCACAAUCUCACCAACAACAAACAAAAAAAAAAGCAGAGUGCAUUUUAAUUGAUGUGUCGAAAUAUCGUUGCCCUUGAGAUAUGUGGCUACAUUACUACCAACAAACUGGAAGAAAAAAUUCAUUUUCAUGCUAACGAAUAUUUAGCCAUUUCCCGAAAGCUAGGAGACUCUAUCGAGACAUACACACUCCACCCUCAUCCAGAUAGCGUUAGGUGUAUUGCCUCAGGGUUUCUUUUGAAGUAUCCUGGAGUUGCAUUGAACGAAGUGGAUGAACAGGAUUCUAUGGUAGUAAAAAUUACACUUGAAAUUUAUCUUUCGUUGUGGAUUUUUUAAAGAAAGCUGUAGAAGUUCUAAAGCAAAUCAGCAGUUUUCCACGAGGGAUGGAAAACCAAUUUCGAAAGUUUUAAGUCUUGGUCCAGGAGUUAAAGUAGAAGACGCACAUGUAAAAGAAGCAGGAAAAAAUCAAUCGAAGCAAAACUUCGCCUUCUGUAUGUGCGUGAGAGGACACGGUGAGUAUCGAAACAGUUCUUUCAACUCCAGGAAGACUGUUUCAAUUCAUUCUUCAAGUUGGAGAAACGUUUCACAUAAUAGCCGAUAACAGCCCGUUUAUGGAGUUGAAUAGUUGUAGUGUAACGUUGCUUCAUUUGUUUUGCUCCCUCUAUAUUUUCAAUGUUGGGUAUAGCCCUGAAGUAAACCCCUCAUUUCUUUUUAUUGAAUAUUCAGUUCUUGAAGUUGUUGAUGAUGUGUCCUCAAGGUGUCGAUCGUAAAAAAUUUUUCUGAAAUUAAAAUUCCGAAACAAUUUGAAAAAUUCAAUUGCAGUACCAGUGACAGUAAUUAAUCAAAAAAGUGUUUAAAAUGUGUCCUUAAAAUUGACUGGUCUUCUCCAAUUUUUUUGUUUUAAUUAAGAAAUUUUUACUGUCACUGUUAUUGUCUCGUUAUGGGUAAUUAAUACCUCGUUUCUGGUUGUUUAACAAGUUGAUGACAAUAAAAUGUAAUCAACAA
rnacentral:misc_RNA from 1 species